rnacentral:rRNA from 1 species
UACGGGGGGUGCGAGCGUUGUCCGGAAUCACUGGGCGUAAAGGGCGCGUAGGUGGCGUCGUAAGUCUGUGGUGAAAGCCCGGAGCUCAACUCCGGGUCUGCCGCGGAUACUGCGAGGCUUGAGUGCUGUAGAGGGGGGUAGAAUGCCGGGUGUAGCGGUGGAAUGCGUAGAGAUCCGGAAGAACACCGGUGGCGAAGGCGGCCUGCUGGGCUACUGCUGACACUGAGGCGCGACAGCGUGGGGAGCAAACAGG